ACAGCAGUAGUAGGAGCGCAAGGAAGAGCCCAGAAAGAGCACUGCGGCUAAGCGUUCGGUUUCGGAUUGUUCUCCAUUUGGUCCAAAAUUCAUUGAGUUUAGGUUCUGCGACUCGCAACGAAAGACUCGAGUCACGGAGUUGCUGAAAUCCUCUGCCAUAUUUUAGUCGUCCCCACGCCCCCCGCCUCGCCCCACCCUCAAGCGUGAGUGAAUGCGCAAAUAAGGGUUUUCAGGCGUCUGUGGGAAAGAGGGAGGGGAAGGCAGAAGUCGAGGAUGGGUCGGGCGGUAGCACCGCUCAAGCGAGAGAGGACCAAGGCCCCAGAGAGGAGACUUAAAACCAGGCGGUCCCCGGCCGGAGGAGGCCGAGGCGAGCUGCUGGACGGCGGGGGCCGAUGGGGGGCAGCAGACCAUGGCAAUGCACUCACUGCGCCCGGAGCCACCUCUUGUCUGCAGGCGCACCCCCCCACCCUUACGUCUCUUUUGGUUUCGACCUGCUGACUGGGAGGGGCCGAGGGACGCCAUUCCCACAAUGCUCUGGAGCGUGCCGCCGCUGUCGCUGCCGCCUCCGCUACCGCUAGUGGAAGAAGAUGGCGGAAGGCGGAGCGGCAGAUCUGGACAUCCAGCGGUCUGACAUCGCGACGCUGCUCAAAACCUCCCUCCGGAAAGGAGACACCUGG